ensembl:lncRNA
GGCUGCCGCGGGCGGCGCGGCGUAGCCGUAAUCACGUGCAGGGGUCGCUUCCGGUCGGCCAUAUUGGCUCCCCGGGGCACGCCGGGAGCGGUAGUUCCUGCGCUCUCGGUUCCCCGCAGCUGCGGCGCUCGCGGGCGCGCACGGUACCGCCCUCGGUACCGGCACGGCCCCGUCCGCGGCGUCCCCCGGGAGUGCGCAUGCGCGGUGGAGGUGAGUGGCGGGGCUCCGGCCGGCCGACCCGCUGCAAUAACGGUCCGUGCCGCCUCUGUCCCCCGCCCGAGGCAGCGCUGGGGCCGCACGUGUCCGUUCCUGCCCUGAGGAUGCUGCCGACUGCACCCAGCUCGGGCUGGCGCGGGGUGUCUCUGCCCGGCCUGUCGCUUCUCACGGCUCGGGGGCCAAAAGGGACGGGCGGAGCAUUCCCGGCUGUGGGCAGCGGGUGGGAGCCGCCGCGGCUAGAGCUGGAGGGGCCAGAGAAAGGGAAGGACGGAGAACAUCGAGGGCACAUAGGCAGCAGCCGCCUGGCCCUGCAGGAGGAGAGCGCCUGCCUCUCCGGGUGAGCGAGGGGCCCUCUGCACAGUCCGCAGCGGGCCGGACCGCCAGCGUGCGCCCGGGGUCUGUGCACGUCACCCCAGGGGGAGGUCAGCCAGGCGAGUGGAGUUUCAGAAGAAGAGGAGGGGCAGGAGGAAGGAAGGAGAAAGAAGCAUCUGAUCUGUCCAAUUCUCCCGGCAGUGCCGGGAGUGAAAGCUGCGGUGAGUCCCGGGCCCUCGGGGCCCUGUCGCCCCCCUUGUGUGUCCCAGUCCCUUCCUGCCCCUCUCUUUCCCAUGCUGUGAUUUUUUUUUUUUCCCUUCUCUACCUUUUCUUUCUAUUCUUCUGCCUUGCUCCCCCUUCCUCUCUCACUUUCUCUUGUCUUGCUGCUCCCUUUUCUUUUUCUGUCUGCACUUCUGACUGCUUGUUCUGUACCUUUUGCAUCACUCACCCCUCAGUCCAUUUCUCUCUCGACCCUUCCGUUCUGCUCCUCACUUAUCAGUUUCUCUCUCUUUCCUCUGUCCUACUGCACGUAGUGUGUGAUUGAAUGAGGUUCUGUGCCUAGCAGGCCUCAUCUCGUAAGAGCUGUGAGACGCCUACGUAUUCUCAUAAGUGGAGGUCAGCCAGGCAUCUGGAGCUGUAGAAGAGGAAGGGAGAAGGCAAACAGAAGGAAGAGUCUGACCUGUCAAAUUCUCCUGGCAGCACGGAGAACUGCGGUAAGUCCCGAGCACUCGGGCCCCUCUCAUCCGUCUUGUGUGUCCUGGUCCCUCCCUGUUUUUUUCCUAGACUCCUCUCUUUCUGGUGCUGCUCAACUGUUUUUGCUCACCUGUAUGUUCUGUCUCGCCUGGAGCAUCUCCCUGUCCCCAUCUUGUAGGUCUUCCCUUUCUCUGCCCUGUACCCUGCCGCUCUUGUUGCCUUUCUCCAUCCCUCUGUUCAGCUCCCUGUUCCUAUUGAUUCCUCUUGCUUCUUCCUGCACCCGCUGCUAUUCCCUGCGAUCUCCAUCUCUCUCUUUCCUGCUCCCUGUCCCCAGUUUUUCAUUCCUACCUCCGUCCCUCAUAGCCUGUCUGGCCUUUUUCCUUGGUGUCUUUCUCCCUGGCUGACUCCCUUCUGCUGUUUUUUAUGUUCUCCCUGUCCAUCUUGUUGCCCAUCGCUCUUUUGUCUUCUCUCUCCAUGCGUCUCUGUCUGUCUUCCAUCCAGUCACUGUUCUUUAAUUCCUCCAUCUUCCCUGUAGUUUGCUGCUAUUUUUUUCCCCUGUUCUCCAUCAUGCUCUGUCUGGUGCCUUGUCCCUGUUCAUCAAUUCCUCCCUCUGCCAUGCAGUCUGUCUCUUUUCACCAUUUAAUUUUUGCCUCUCUGUCUGGCUCCUUGUGCCGGGUUUGUGAAUUCCUUCCUCUGUGUCCCAUACCCCCUGUGAUCUUUUCUGUUUUGUGGCCUGUUUCUGGCUGGCGCUCUGUUACUAUUCAGUAAUUCCUCUCUUGAUGCCUUGUAGUCUGUAGCUUUUGUCUUUUCUCCAUCUCUCUGUCUCUGUUUCCCCUCUUUUAGAAUACCCCCCUCUUCUUUCUAUAUGCAUCAGGAUUAGUUUUUGGCUCCAGGUCUCUUUUUUUCCGUGUCUCCGUCCCUGUUUGCUCAUUCUUCCUUCUCUGCCCUGUCACAUGUAGCUAUGUGAUUUGUGUUCCUUCCCUGCCCUUUCCCUCCAUCAUUUGCUGUCCUGACUCCCCAUCACUGUUGCUUUUUCCUCCCUCUGUGCCCUGUUCUUUGUAGCUUUUUUGUCUUUCUCCUAUCUUGCUUGGUCUAGCUCCCUGCACUACCCGCCCUUUUUUUUCCCCUCCAUGGCUGUUGUGCCACCCAUCCUGGCUUUUUUUUCUGCACCUCUAUGCUGCUCCUCAUCCUUCUUUGUUGGUUUCUGUCCUGCUCCUUCUUCCUCUUUCUGUUGCCUCUUCUCUCCCUGCUGCUUUUUUUUUCCUCCGUAUCCAUGUUGGGCUCCCUGUCCCCAUCCUCUCACUGCUCUGUUGCUCACCUCUUGUUUUCUCUCUACCCCCGUACUGGUCAGCCAGCCACCACCUUUCUUCUGUCUUCUUGUGUCCUGCAUCUUGCUCCUCAUGUUUGGCAGUUUCCAGCUCUACCCAGCAGCUUGUUGCUCCAGGAACUGACUGAUUGUUCCUGGCUGGGCUGAGGAGUGUGGCUCUGGGAACAAGUGCCAAGGGCAGCAUUAGCGGCCCUGAGCCCUGGAGCAGACUCACUCCCUUCUGGGACUUGUUCUGUGUGUGACUGAAUAAACACUUGCUGGCUGCCUU